UCGGUGUACAGGUGGUGCAUGGCUGUCGUCAGCUCGUGUCGUGAGAUGUUGGUUAAGUCCCGCAACGAGCGCACCUUGUCUUAUGUUGCCAGCACGUGAUGGUGGGGACUCGUAAGAGACUGCCGGGGUCGAACUCGGAGGAAGGUGGGGACGACGUCAAGUCAUCAUGCCCCUUAUGUCCAGGGCCUCACGCAUGCUACAAUGGCCAGUACAGAGGGCUGCGAGACCGUGAGGUGGAGCGAAUCCCUUAAAGCUGGUCUCAGUUCGGAUCGGGGUCUGCAACUCGACCCCGUGAAGUCGGAGUCGCUAGUAAUCGCAGAUCAGCAACGCUGCGGUGAAUACGUUCCCGGGCCUU
rnacentral:rRNA from 1 species